rnacentral:rRNA from 1 species
CCUACGGGUGGCUGCAGUCGAGAAUCAUUCACAAUGGGGGAAACCCUGAUGGUGCGACGCCGCGUGGGGGCAUGAAGGUCUUCGGAUUGUACACCCCUGUCAUGUGGGAACAAAUUAAAAAGGUAGUACCACAAGAGGAAGAGAUGGCUAACUCUGUGCCAGCAGCCGCGGUAAUACAGAGGUCUCAAGCGUUGUUCGGAAUCACUGGGCGUAAAGCGUGCGUAGGCUGUUUCGUAAGUCGUGUGUGAAAGGCGCGGACUCAACCCGCGGACGGUAAAUGAUACGGCGAGACGAGAGUAAUGUAGGGGGAACCGGAAUUCGCGGUGUAGCAGGGAAAUGCGUAGAUAUCGAGAGGAACACUCGUGGCGAAGGCGGGUUCCUGGACAUUAACUGACGCUGAGGCACGAAGGCCAGGGGAGCGAAAGGGAUUAGAUACCCUAGUAGUC